UAUAAUUUUGGUAACCCAGGCAAAGAUUGGUCCAAAAUAAGCAUUUUUCUUUGACUUUUGAAAUAUGGGAUCUACAAAGACACAACACAGAAUCUGCAAAUAUGGAGACCAACCAAAAAUCCAAAUUUGCCAGAUUCUGCCAAGUCAACAACAAAAUUAUAGAAUAUUGUCGGUUUUAGAAAAUUAUAAUGGAUAGAUUACAGGGGAAGGAAAAAAAUCUUAAGA
rnacentral:sRNA from 1 species